UCGGGAAUCUUGGGCAAUGGGGGCAACCCUGACCCAGCAACUCCGCGUGAGGGAUGAAGGCCCUCGGGUCGUAAACCUCUGUCGAGAGGGAAGAAAGGGUCGGUGGUCAAUAUCCACCGGCCUUGACGGUACCUCAAAAGGAAGCACCGGCUAACUCCGUGCCAGCAGCCGCGGUAAUACGGAGGGUGCAAGCGUUGUUCGGAAUCAUUGGGCGUAAAGCGGGUGUAGGCGGCUUGGUAAGUCGGGUGUGAAAUCCCUGGGCCCAACCCAGGAACUGCACUCGAAACUGCCUCGCUAGAGUCUCGGAGAGGGUGGCGGAAUUCCCGGUGUAGAGGUGAAAUUCGUAGAUAUCGGGAGGAACACCAGUGGCGAAGGCGGCCACCUGGACGAUGACUGACGCUGAGACCCGAAAGCGUGGGGAGCAAACAGGAUUAGAUACCCCUGUAGUCC
rnacentral:rRNA from 1 species